rnacentral:rRNA from 1 species
UGGGGAAUUUUGGACAAUGGGGGAAACCCUGAUCCAGCCAUCCCGCGUGUGCGAUGAAGGCCUUCGGGUUGUAAAGCACUUUUGGCAGGAAAGAAACGUCAUGGGUUAAUACCCCGUGAAACUGACGGUACCUGCAGAAUAAGCACCGGCUAACUACGUGCCAGCAGCCGCGGUAAUACGUAGGGUGCAAGCGUUAAUCGGAAUUACUGGGCGUAAAGCGUGCGCAGGCGGUUCGGAAAGAAAGAUGUGAAAUCCCAGAGCUCAACUUUGGAACUGAAUUUUUAACUCCCGGGCUAGAGUGUGUCAGAGGGAGGUGGAAUUCCGCGUGUAGAAGUGAAAUGCGUGGUUAUGCGGAGGACAACCGAGGGCGAAGGCAGCCUCCUGGGAUAACACGGACGUUAAUGCACGAAAGCGGGGGAGCAAACAGG